ensembl:lncRNA
UUCAGGGUCCUGUUGAAUGAGGCACCCAAUAGAAACAUGUUUCAGGGUCCUGUUGAAUGAGGCACCCAAUAGAAACAUGUUUCAGGGGUCCUGUUGAAUGAGGCACCCAAUAGAAACAUGUUUCAGGGGUCCUGUUGAAUGAGGCACCCAAUAGAAACAUGUUUCAGGGUCCUGUUGAAUGAGGCACCCAAUAGAAACAUGUUUCAAAACGCUUUGCAACAGGAAGUUGAAAAUAAUCAUUUCUUCUGGGACGAGUCCAGGGAGCCCCUCUCCCUGUUUGUCUGUUUUCUUCCAUCAGGUGCCUAAUGAGUGAGUCCCUGGGGUCAUGCCCAAACCGGCACAAUCAUUUUAUAAUCUAAACCAUUUGCUGAUCUAGCUAAAUUCGUCUUCCUAAUGUGAGCGCUGUGGAUGUACCCUGUGGAUUCAGUUUACAAGGACAUUUGAUUUUUGCCAUUCUUACGAUGUUUUUAUCGUAAAAAAAAUUUAAAAAAUUGAAAUUGAAUGGGAUAUUGUAGGAAAAGCUCUCAAACAAUUGUAUAUGUUUUGGAAUGACUGAACUUGGUUUAAAAGAUACCUCUCUUAACUAAAAGGGUUUUCCAAGCAUUUGACAAUGUUUAAUUCACUUGAAGUUGGAUGAGUUUAUUUUAACACUUUUUAUUAAGUGGAAAGUCCUGUUUUUUUUUUAAAUAUAAAAUAUUUCAAAUCCUUCAGCUUGAGCUACCUCACAGAAGUGAAUCUCUGUUGAGGUAAACGUUUCCCAGAGGAGGAAUCACACCUUACUGUAGAACCUGGCAUUUAUUUUCAUCGUGCGAUUGGCUUGAUUUCCAGAUGUCUGAAAGUCAAAAUGUACAACGACACGGUUCUUUCUGAAUCUUCUGUGCUCACACGUGCUAGACUAGUUUGAUAAGACGGUUUAUAUGUAUCAAACAAAGGGUUUAAGAAACUAUUUUGUGUUACGAGAGAGAGAGAGAGAUGAUAGAAUAGUUUGUCUAUUUUUCUAUGCCGUUGUCAUACAAGGAAAUUUUAAAAACGCAUUUUAAAAACAUAAUGUUGCAAUGACCUGUACCACUGAAACAGGAAGUGUUUUAUUUUACACAAUCUGGCAUGUAUCAAUUAUUUUUAAACCCGUGGAAUCUGGAGUCCCAUAAUUUUUGUUCUUUUGGUUUUGAAAACCACUUUUCUUUUUUUUUUUAACGAGUCAAACAUUGAGUGACUGAAAAGCCCACCUCAUAACUUGUUUCUUGUGUAAUGAUUGAACAGUCUCUGGACCACAACUGAAUUGGAAAUAAAUGAACGUCUUCUUCAAA